AGCGCAGGCGGUGCGGCAAGUCUGAUGUGAAAGCCCGGGGCUCAACCCCGGUACUGCAUUGGAAACUGUCGUACUAGAGUGUCGGAGGGGUAAGCGGAAUUCCUAGUGUAGCGGUGAAAUGCGUAGAUAUUAGGAGGAACACCAGUGGCGAAGGCGGCUUACUGGACGAUAACUGACGCUGAGGAGCGAAAGCGUGGGGAGCGAACA
rnacentral:rRNA from 1 species